rnacentral:rRNA from 2 species
AAAUUGAAGAGUUUGAUCAUGGCUCAGAUUGAACGCUGGCGGCAGGCCUAACACAUGCAAGUCGAACGGUAGCACAGAGAGCUUGCUCUCGGGUGACGAGUGGCGGACGGGUGAGUAAUGUCUGGGAAACUGCCUGAUGGAGGGGGAUAACUACUGGAAACGGUGGCUAAUACCGCAUAAUGUCGCAAGACCAAAGAGGGGGACCUUCGGGCCUCUUGCCAUCAGAUGUGCCCAGAUGGGAUUAGCUAGUUGGUGAGGUAACGGCUCACCAAGGCGACGAUCCCUAGCUGGUC